CCAAUCUAUUUAUGUGAGGAAUAGAUACAUAAAACCUUACUGGUAUUUAGUAGGAAAUCUUUUAUUGUUAAUAUUUUAUUUACAAUCUUACUUGAUAUUUAUCAUUGAGUUAAAUUGCACAUACCAUUCAGGUAUGGUUAAAAACUCAUUUCUGCUUCAUGCAGUCAGACUUUUCUGUUGCAAAUCUCAACUUUUGGCUAUAAAAACAAGGUAUCAAAAUAAACAGGAAGUUACUUCUAUGUGUUCAAAUAUAGCACAACUACUACUUGAAACUCAAAGCCUUUUCUCCUUAAUUAUAAUAUCUUCAGACUGCUUUUCUCUAUAUAGAUUCUCA
rnacentral:lncRNA from 1 species